GACGAACGCUGGCGGCGUGCUUAACACAUGCAAGUCGAACGGAAAGGCCCUGCCUUUGUGGGGUGCUCGAGUGGCGAACGGGUGAGUAACACGUGAGUAACCUGCCCUUGACUUUGGGAUAACUUCAGGAAACUGGGGCUAAUACCGGAUAGCAGCUCCUGCUGCCUGGUGGGGGUUGGAAAGUUUCGGCGGUUGGGGAUGGACUCGCGGCUUAUCAGCUUGUUGGUGGGGUAGUGGCUUACCAAGGCUUUGACGGGUAGCCGGCCUGAGAGGGUGACCGGCCACAUUGGGACUGAGAUACGGCCCAGACUCCUACGGGAGGCAGCAGUGGGGAAUAUUGCACAAUGGGCGGAAGCCUGAUGCAGCAACGCCGCGUGCGGGAUGACGGCCUUCGGGUUGUAAACCGCUUUCGCCUGUGACGAAGCGUGAGUGACGGUAAUGGGUAAAGAAGCACCGGCUAACUACGUG
rnacentral:rRNA from 1 species